AGGUGUGGAUAGCGGAGAAAUUCCAAUCGAACCCGGAGAUAGCUGGUUCUCCUCGAAAUAGCUUUAGGGCUAGCCUCGUUUUAGUCUGGUGGAGGUAGAGCACUGAAUUCCCAAGGGGGCGUCAAAGCUUACUAAGGGAUAUCAAACUCCGAAUGCCAUACAGAUGAUGAACGGGAGUCAGACUAUACGAGAUAAGUUGGAUAGUCAAAAGGGAAAGAGCCCAGACCUGCAGCUAAGGUCCCAAAGUGCAUGUUAAGUGGAAAAGGAUGUGGGAUCUCUAAGACAACUAGGAUGUUGGCUCAGAAGCAGCCAUUCAUUCAAAGAGUGCGUAACAGCUCACUAGUCGAGAGGUCCUGCGCCGAAAAUGUCCGGGGCUAAAACAUGCCACCGAAGCUCAGGAAUGACAUAGUCAUUGGUAGAGGAGCAUUCUUAACGCGAAGAAGCAGUACCGUAAGGAGCUGUGGAGUGCUAAGAAGAGAGAAUGCCGGAAUGAGUAGCGAGAACAAGGUGAGAAUCCUUGUGGCCGAAUAUCCAAGGUCUCCAGGGUAAAGCUGAUCUGCCCUGGGAAAGUCGGGACCUAAGGUCAGGCUGAAAAGCGUAGCCGAUGGACAACAGGUUGAUAUUCCUGUACCGCAUGGUAACAGAACUGUGGGGACACGGGAGGGAAACAUGGGCCGGAAAUGGAAAGUCCGGUACAAACGGGGUAGUCGCACAGCAGGCAAAUCCGCUGUGCAUAAGACGAAGCCGUGAUGUGGAGCGAAAUGAAGUAGCGAAGCAUGUGCCCCCUCCUGUCGAGAAAAGCCGCUAUUGUUUGCCAUGCGCCCGUACCGUAAACCGACACAGGUGGAUGAGGAGAGAAUCCUAAGGCCGGCGGGAGAAGCAUUGUCAAGGAACUCGGCAAAAUGACCCCGUAACUUCGGGAGAAGGGGUGCCCACGCAAGUGGGCCGCAGAGAAUAGGCUCAAGCAACUGUUUAGCAAAAACACAGGUCUAUGCGAAACCGUAAGGUGAUGUAUAUGGGCUGACGCCUGCCCGGUGCUGGAAGGUUAAGAGGAGAGGUUAGAGCAAUCGAAGCUUUGAAUUGAAGCCCCAGUAAACGGCGGCCGUAACUAUAACGGUCCUAAGGUAGCGAAAUUCCUUGUCGGGUAAGUUC
rnacentral:rRNA from 1 species